rnacentral:tRNA from 1 species
GGCCACGUGGAGAAAUUGGUAGACUCGCCAUCUUGAGGGGGUGGUGUUGAAAGACGUAUGGGUUCGAAUCCCAUCGUGGUCACGA